GCAAUGGGCAAGCUCCGGGCCACAGUGCGCUUGCGCAGAAGGUGCCACGGUCCGGGGAGGGGCGGAGCCUGAGGAGCUUAGACUGAGGUGAUAAGGAAAAUACGGAAAGGAUCUGGAUGGCUGUCAGCUCUGGCUCCGCCGGGAGAGAGGAAAUGGGCCAGCUCGGUGUUCAAGAGCUGAUGCUUUGGAGGUCCCAGUGUUCUGACACCGCAUGCCUAUGUGGCUUUGGCAUCUAGAAUAUAGACUCCUGAGAGUCCUUUGGACAGCAAGGAGAUCAAACCAGUCAAUCCUAAAGGAAAUCAACCCUGAAUAUUCAUUGGAAGGACUGAUGCUGAAGCUCCAACACUUUGGCCACCUGAUGCAAAGAGCCAACUCACUGGAAAAGACCCUGAUGCUGGGAAGGAUUGAGGGCAGGAGGAGAAGGGGAUGACAGAAGAUGAGAUGCUUGGACAGCAGCACCAACUCAGUGGAUUUAAGUUUGAGCAAACUCUGGGAGAUAGUGAAGGACAGGAAAGCCUGAUGUGCUACAGUCCAAGGGGUGCAAAGAAUCGGACACGACUUAGUGAUUGAACAACAACAAAGUGUAGAACGACAUAGUAAAAGUGAGGGGUGAAUAUCUUUGGGCUAAGCAAGGUUUCAGUGCCUGCUGCAGAAAUAUAGAGGUUGGUUUUGCUUUUCUGAAAAUAAACUCACACUAUAUAUUUUUGGCA
ensembl:lncRNA